rnacentral:rRNA from 1 species
UACAGAGGUCCCGAGCGUUGUUCGGAUUCACUGGGCGUAAAGGGCGCGUAGGUGGCUUGAAAAGUUUGAUGUGAAAGCUCAGGGCUUAACCCUGAAAUGGCAUUGAAUACUGUCGGGCUGGAGGUUUGGAGGGGGGACUGGAAUUCUUGGUGUAGCAGUGAAAUGCGUAGAUAUCAAGAGGAACACCAGUGGCGAAGGCGAGUCCCUGGACAACACCUGACACUGAGGCACGAAAGCUAGGGUAGCAAACGGG